rnacentral:snRNA from 1 species
AAAAGGAGCAUUUUGGCUAACUCAUGUGCAGUAUCUGUUCUUUGUGAUACAUUCCCUAUUUGGGAACCAUAUAGUAAAUUGAUUUUAGGAACAAGGAGAUGGAGUAGGGGCUUGCUCCGUCCACUACAUGCAUCGGCCUAGUAUUGUAAUACCAUAAUUUUAGGACUUGUUAAGGUUAA